UACGGAGGAUGCGAGCGUUAUCCGGAUUUAUUGGGUUUAAAGGGUGCGUAGGCGGGAUGCCAAGUCAGCGGUAAAAAUGCGGUGCUCAACGCCGUCGAGCCGUUGAAACUGGCGUUCUUGAGUGGGCGAGAAGUAUGCGGAAUGCGUGGUGUAGCGGUGAAAUGCAUAGAUAUCACGCAGAACCCCGAUUGCGAAGGCAGCCUUCCGGCGCCCUACCGACGCUGAGGCACGAAAGUGCGGGGAUCGAACAGG
rnacentral:rRNA from 1 species